AUACGGGGGAUUCAAGCGUUAUCCGGACUUAUUGGGUUUAAAGGGUGCGUAGGCUGAUAAAUCAGUCAGCGGUGAAAUUUACGGGCUUAACUUGUAGCUUGCCGUUGAAACUAUUUAUCUAGAGAUAUUUCGGCGUAUGCGGAAUGUAUCAAGUAGCGGUGAAAUGCAUAGAUAUGCUACAGAACACCAAUCGCGAAGGCAGCAUACGAGGCAUCAUCUGACGCUGAUGCACGAAAGCGUGGGGAUCAAACAGGAUUAGAUACCCUGGUAGUCCACGCUGUAAACGAUGGGCGCUCGUCGUCGGCGGCAGACAGUCGGCGGCCAAGCGAAAGCGAUAAGCGCCCCACCUGGGGAGUACGGUCGCAAGGCUGAAACUUAAAGGAAUCGACGGGG
rnacentral:rRNA from 1 species